AUGAGAUCUGUGGAUGGGAACAUGUCUCCAGUCGAGGUGUUGAUGAAGGAAAUUCAGAAAUGCUCACACAAAUGGAGCAAGCAGACACAUGAAUCCACGUCGCCCUGGCCUUCAGAGGGGACAUUUGAUCUGAGGCAGUGUGCAGAGAUGCAGGGUUUUAUAAAAACCUAUAAGAUAAAAGAAAAAUCUGUAAAGCGAGGCCUUAAACGGGAAAGAGAAAAUGCAGUGUUGCAAUUGUUUAUCAACUGUGCAAAAACGAUGAACAAAAAGACGACUCAAUGUGGUGAUAAUCAAUUUAAUCAGAUCUCUAUAAUUAAGUCUCUUUCAGAUGCGUCCCAGAUGGAUGCAGAAGAAACAAACCCAUUACGGACAAAGAAGCCAGUUCACCCUGUAGCUGAUCUAGAAGGGACAGACAGGGCAGUGAAAAGGGAUGAGUUGUUAGAACUGCCCGACAUUUAUUUAAAAACAGAGAAAAUCUCAAUUGGAAAUUCCUGCAGUGAUCUGCGUGACAGAGCAGGUAGAUCACGGUGGGCUGAGUCAGAUGAGGAAUCAGUGUGUGUGGGUGACAAACGGGUAAAUGAGGUUUCUGAUGGACUUCCUCUGCUGGUCAAAGAGGCAAAGCGUCAAAAUCUGCCCUGGCAGAAUGAUCUGACUGGCACUGUGGGACUUUGCAACUUGUCACUAGAACAAAUAACUGACCACGUGGUUCAUGCUGUUGAGCUGCGUCAGAAGCAGGCAAAGGAGGCAGUGAAAGAAGCAACCCACCAGCAGCAGCGAAAAGAGGGGGAGAAAAGAGAGAGAGAGAGAAAAAAAAACGGGUUUUUAAUUGGUUUCAGGUAUUCGGGGUUUACUUGGCUCUGAUCAUUUCGUUUAGGGAAAGUAAGGCAAGUAACAAUUAAUUCUAAAACAUCCCCUACUAGACUAAAACAUACUCUGACAAAAGAAAACAUAAUUAGGAUUAGAGAUAAUAAUAUUUCUAAAAAGACUAUUUGGCUGAAAACAUCCAAAAUAAAAUAUUAGGAAGAAACA
rnacentral:lncRNA from 1 species